CCUACGGGUGGCACCAGUGGGGAAUCUUAGACAAUGGGGGCAACCCUGAUCUAGCCAUGCCGCGUGAGUGAUGAAGGCCUUAGGGUUGUAAAGCUCUUUCAGCUGUGAAGAUAAUGACGGUAGCAGCAGAAGAAGUCCCGGCUAACUCCGUGCCAGCAGCCGCGGUAAUACGGAGGGGACUAGCGUUGUUCGGAAUUACUGGGCGUAAAGCGCACGUAGGCGGAUCGGAAAGUUGGGGGUGAAAUCCCGGGGCUCAACCCCGGAACUGCCUUCAAAACUAUCGGUCUGGAGUUCGAGAGAGGUGAGUGGAAUUCCGAGUGUAGAGGUGAAAUUCGUAGAUAUUCGGAGGAACACCAGUGGCGAAGGCGGCUCACUGGCUCGAUACUGACGCUGAGGUGCGAAAGCGUGGGGAGCAAACAGGAUUAGAUACCCUAGUAGUC
rnacentral:rRNA from 1 species